AGGGUUUGAUCCUGGCUCAGAUUGAACGCUGGCGGCAGGCUUAACACAUGCAAGUCGAGCGGUAACAGAUCUAGCUUGCUAGAUGCUGACGAGCGGCGGACGGGUGAGUAACGCGUAGGAACCUGCCCAGUAGUGGGGGAUAGCCCGGUGAAAACCGGAUUAAUACCGCAUAAGCUCUACGGAGGAAAGGGGGCUUCGGCUCUCGCUAUUGGAUGGGCCUGCGUGAGAUUAGCUAGUUGGUGAGGUAAUGGCUCACCAAGGCGACGAUCUCUAGCUGGUCUGAGAGGAUGAUCAGCCACACUGGGACUGAGACACGGCCCGGACUCCUACGGGAGGCAGCAGUGGGGAAUAUUGCACAAUGGGCGCAAGCCUGAUGCAGCCAUGCCGCGUGUGUGAAGAAGGCUUUCGGGUUGUAAAGCACUUUCAGUAGGGAGGAAGGCCUCGUAGUUAAUACCUGCGAGGAUUGACGUUACCUACAGAAGAAGCACCGGCUAACUCAGUGCCAGCAGCCGCGGUAAUACUGAGGGUGCGAGCGUUAAUCGGAAUUACUGGGCGUAAAGCGCGCGUAGGCGGCUUACUAAGCCAGAUGUGAAAGCCCCGGGCUCAACCUGGGAACUGCAUUUGGAACUGGUUCGCUAAAGUACAGUAGAGGGUGGUGGAAUUUCCAGUGUAGCGGUGAAAUGCGUAGAGAUUGGAAGGAACAUCAGUGGCGAAAGCGGCCACCUGGACUGAUACUGACGCUGAGUGCGAAAGCGUGGGGAGCAACAGGAUUAGAUACCCUGGUAGUCCACGCCGUAAACGAUGUCUACUAGCCGUUGGGGAACUUGAUUCCUUAGUGGCGCAGCUAACGCACUAAGUAGACCGCCUGGGGAGUACGGCCGCAAGGUUAAACUCAAAUGAAUUGACGGGGUCCCGCACAGCGGUGGAGCAUGUGGUUUAAUUCGAUGCAACGCGAAGAACGUACUGUCUUGAAAUCUGCGACUUUCUUAAAGAUAGAUUGGUGCCUUCGAACGCCAUGACAGUGCUGCAUGGCCUGGUCGUCAGCUCUGUUGGAAUGGUGGAUAGGUCGUACCGACGCACCGUAUCCGAUUGCCAGCAUCGUUGAACCUAGUAACUGCGGUACACCGAGAAGUGAGUAGUAAGCUCAUAGCAUA
rnacentral:rRNA from 1 species